CCCCUCUUGGAAUUCAUUUCUUCCUGGAGAGACUUGGAGAAUGAAGAUCCAGGGGUUUCUCCCUACCUUGUACCGAGAAGUAACAUUGCAAGUAGAGUAAAUGACCAGCUUAAUUACGUUCACCUUCGAAGAAGAUUCCUCUAGAGAGAAAUUAUAUCCUCCUUGCAGCCUGUGAAGGUUUUCAUGCGUUUUAGGAAUAUAAAAGAAAGGAAGACAAACAUGUAGUAAAGAUAGUAAAGACAGGACCCACUUCUUCACGCCUUCCUCAGCAACUUCUCCAUGUGGCCCCUUAGGAGCUAAAGCGCUCUGCACUGGAUUAUAUGACUUGCCUGUUGUGGACUCAGGGCUUCUCAAAGUUACAUGAAUUCUCCGUGCUUAGGGAAAUUGGAUGACCUCUGUUCUCUGACCAAAGAUAAAAGAAGAUUAUUCUGUGAUCCUAUACGAGUCAGUGGCUAAUGGAACUACCAAAAAAAUGAUAACAAUGCAAAUAAUGUAAUUGGUUCUAAGCAGUGCUUUGCAGGCUCCUAAGGAUGGUUCUAAGUAAGCCAGGAGUAGGUGAUACAUUGUAAUUCUGGGACCCAUGAGCUUAGCAGGACAAAGGAAACCAUGAAUCACCCUAGUCCCAGAAGUACCUUUUCAUAGGCCCCAGGGAUUCCAACAUCAUUAUUCACUCUCCACUCUGCAAGUGACUUAGGUCGUGAGCAUCUCUGAGUCUGCACAGGCUCUGCCAUGUGGCUGUGGGGGUCCGGCUUCUCUGAUGGAUGGGAAGAUAAUGCUCGGGGCUCCAAUGCUAUUAUCUCCUCAUCUCUGUCACAAGGAGAUUUAUACUUAUGAUUUACCCUUUUCAUGAACAUGGGAAAAUUCUUUUUUCUAGUGUUGUUUCUGGAAUGUUCUUUGCUGUGUCUAAAUGAGCUGAUUCCACUGUUGGGAGAGGUGGAUGAUGUGAGCAGUAAGAAGGCAUUAGUUUCUUGAAAACUAGAUCCAUAUUUAGGUGAGAUGAAAUCAAACUACCUGAUUUUAAAAAAAACAAACUAUGUUUAUUUACCGUAUGUCUUGAUU
ensembl:lncRNA novel transcript